CACGUAGGGAGCAAGCGUUGUCCGGAUUUAUUGGGCGUAAAGAGCUCGUAGGUGGUUCGGUAAGUCAAAGGUGAAAUCCCUCGGCUCAACUGAGGAACUGCCUUUGAAACUGUCGUGCUUGAGGCCGGGAGGGGGUAGCGGAAUUCCCAGUGUAGCGGUGAAAUGCGUAGAUAUUGGGAGGAACACCAGUGGCGAAGGCGGCUACCUGGACCGGUUCUGACGCUGAUGCGCGAAAGCGUGGGUAGCAAACAGG
rnacentral:rRNA from 1 species